rnacentral:lncRNA from 1 species
CUCACAUUGUCAGUGCCAGCAUUUUGCAACUCCUCUCGCCCUGUGCUCUAGGAAACUGUGAGGUCGUCUCCAACACUUUGCUCCUGAGCUGCCUGGAUUUGGCAAUACAGCCAGUCCAACCUUUGCUGCCAGAUGCUGAGAACAGAUGCAUUUAUCCUGCAGGAAGAUUCUUUUUCAAACCAAGAGAAGAUAAAGAUGUCUUAGCCUGGGAACCCAAGAUGCAAUCACAUUUUCAAAUCCAACUUUAAAUGCACCAUCAGGUCUACAAUCGAGGAGGUGUGAAUACGUGUGCUAUUGAUUAAUUUCAGCUUUGCUUGAUAUCACUCCAAGUUUCCAAUAACUGACUAUAGUUGCCAUUCCUGGACAGGGCAGGUAAUGAGAAGUGUGCACUUCGCUUUUUUUUUUCUUUUGUCUCCAGAGCUAAAUAUACACAUUCACCA